rnacentral:rRNA from 1 species
UACGUAGGGUGCAAGCGUUAAUCGGAAUUACUGGGCGUAAAGCGUGCGCAGGCGGUUUUGUAAGUCUGUCGUGAAAGCCCCGGGCUCAACCUGGGAAUUGCGAUGGAGACUGCAAGGCUUGAAUCUGGCAGAGGGGGGGUAGAAUUCCACGUGUAGCAGUGAAAUGCGUAGAGAUGUGGAGGAACACCGAUGGCGAAGGCAGCCCCCCUGGGUCAAGAUUGACGCUCAUGCACGAAAGCGUGGGGAGCAAACAGGG